AUGAAAGCAACAGUUGCCGGUGCAUCCAAGUUACAAGAAAUACUUGCUCUGUAUGAGGUUCAGUCUGGGCAGAAGGUAAACAAGGACAAAUCCUCAGCUUUUUUCAGCAAGAAGACAGAGAACAACAGCAAGCAGCAGGUGCUCCAUGUACUUGGUAUUCUCUCUGAAUCACGAAAGGAGCGAUACCUAGGGCUGCCGGUGCAUCUGGGAUUAGCAAAAAGCAAGGAGUUCGAAUACAUCAAGGAGAGUAUAUGGAGGAGGAUUCAAGGCUGGAUUAAAAAAUUGCUCUCAAAAGUGGGGAAGGAGACCCUGAUAAAGGCAGUAGCCCAGGCCAUCCCCACAUAG
rnacentral:rRNA from 1 species